UAACAACUGACGCGAGGCUCAGCCCCUCGGUUUGGGGGUUUUCUUGGAAGCCUAGGUCCAAAGCCUCAGUCUGCCACGGAGGCGACCGCCCAGCUUCCCCGCGGCUCUUCUGAGGAAAGGGAGGCCUCCCAGCAGAGCCUGAAAACCUGUAAAUUUGGCUGCAGGCUUCGAACCCUGACCGUCCCCGCCCAGCCUUGGGCUGCUGGGUGGAGAUGAACUGGGCUAAAGACACCUGAGAGUGAGGCAGAAACAAACAAGCAGGGAAGUGGCCGGGAGACGAGAUGGGCAUCUACAGAAUGAAUACAGGAAUGUCUGUCUGUCUGUCUGUGCAUACUCUGUGAAGGGAUACACCAGCAUUACAUGCUGACUCAGGAUAGCCAGUAUGCCUUCUGCAAGAGGAAAGCUUGCAUUUCAAAAUCCACCAAGUGAAAAAGAACAGAAAAAUUCAGAGGGCAUCAUUCAUGAUAUCAUUUGAGGAUAUGCUGCAGCAAAAUAAGUGAAUAAACAAGAAAGUCAAAUACAUGGAAUUGAGGAAACAGUGACUUCAGCCCAGGACUGGAAUGACCGGGCAGCAGCCCAGAGAGCAAUCUGUUCAGACUGCGGCAGAACAGCGAGCUCCUGGAGCAGGUACGUGGGAGCUGGGAAAAGACGGUUGCAGAGAUGUAGUCGUAUCCUCGAGAAUAUGAAACUACUCAAAUAUGCAGUAAAGGCAAGUGAUGGAGAAAAAAAAAAAGGAAGGCAAUUAAAACUCCAAAAAAAUGACACAGGAAAUGUAAUCCGGGUCCUGCAGCAAACUAGUUUAAUGCAGUCAUAAUAAAUACUCUACUGAUUUUCUAUGUGUAGAUCAACUGGCUGCAAAGAAAAACUUAUAUGAUUACAGACUACAAAGUAGAUAUUUUUAAAUCUCAGCAAUACACAAGUACAAGUGAUAAAAACUGAGAAGCAACGCCGAAGUUAGAGAAGUAGAAGAAAAAAUAGAGGCACUAAUACCUUCAUUUAAAAAAGUAUCAGGCCAGGGGUGGUGGUUC